rnacentral:rRNA from 1 species
AUGAACGCUGGCUACAGGCUUAACACAUGCAAGUCGAGGGGAAACGACGGGGAAGCUUGCUUCCCCGGGCGUCGACCGGCGCACGGGUGAGUAACGCGUAUCCAACCUGCCUCUGACUGAGGGAUAACCCGUCGAAAGUCGGCCUAAUACCUCAUGGCAUCGUCUGCGGGCAUCCAACGACGAUUAAAGAUUUCAUCGGUCAGGGAUGGGGAUGCGUCUGAUUAGCUAGUUGGCGGGGUAACGGCCCACCAAGGCGACGAUCAGUAGGGGUUCUGAGAGGAAGGUCCCCCACAUUGGAACUGAGACACGGUCCAAACUCCUACGGGAGGCAGCAGUGAGGAAUAUUGGUCAAUGGGCGAGAGCCUGAACCAGCCAAGUAGCGUGCAGGAUGACGGCCCUAUGGGUUGUAAACUGCUUUUAUGCGGGGAUAAAGUGAGGGACGUGUCCUUCAUUGCAGGUACCGCAUGAAUAAGGACCGGCUAAUUCCGUG